AUGAGGAUCAAAUUCAUGACCCACCCUUUUCAUCUCUCUCAUCGACCCUUUCUUUACCCAUACCCUUCCAUGAACAACAAAAUCAAGACAAUCAAUCACCUUAAACAAAAUUCUUUUAAUUUCAAAACACAAACAACAUAUUCAAAAUGGAAUCAGUUAAACAGAGGAAAGAAUUCUAACGUGAAUCUCCAGCGUGUGUGGGGUAGUCGUCAGAAGCCUCUUCGUCAGAGGUUGUGCGACAAGGUGGUGGUCCGCGAUUCAGAGGGCGAAUCUUGGCGUGGAGGUGAGCGGUUGUGA